ensembl:lncRNA
GCGACUUCUGUUGCAGGGCCUGCAGGGCUCCUGCUGGGCAGGGACACGCGUGGGCAGCAACACGCAGCAGUGGGACAGGGACAGCACUGCACGGAGCUUUGGCGUCGCCCAUCCCCGUGGGACCCGAGGAUGCUCCCAUUGCUGCGCCGGGCCUGGCUGUGCCUCGGAGCUCUGCUGGUUGCCCCCCAUAACUGUAGGGGCUGGAAGGGACCUCCAGAGCUCAUCGAGUCCAGCCCAAUGCGGAGCAGGCUCCCCGCUGCAGAGCAGGCUGCACAGGUGGGCGUCCAGGCGGGUCUGCAGUAUCUCCAGAGGAGGAGAAUCCACAGCCUCCCUGUGCAGCCUGCUGCAGUGCUGCGCCACCUCGCUGUGAAGAAGUUCCUUCUCAUGGUGGUGCAGAACUUCCUGUGCUCCGGUUUAUGGCCGUUUCCCCUUGUCGUGUCCCCACAG